rnacentral:tRNA from 1 species
CGCCGCGUAGAGCAGUCUGGUUAGCUCGCUUGGCUCAUAACCAAGAGGUCGCAGGUUCAAAUCCUGCCGCGGCAA